CAGUAGCCGCGGGAAUACAGAGGGUGCAAGCGUUAAUCGGAAUUACUGGGCGUAAAGCGCGCGUAGGUGGUUUGUUAAGUUGAAUGUGAAAUCCCCGGGCUCAACCUGGGAACUGCAUCCAAAACUGGCAAGCUAGAGUAGGGCAGAGGGUGGUGGAAUUUUCUGUGUAGCGGUGAAAUGCGUAGAUAUAGGAAGGAACACCAGUGGCGAAGGCGACCACCUGGGCUCAUACUGACACUGAGGUGCGAAAGCGUGGGGAGCAAACAGGAUUAGAUACCCCAGUAGUCCCUGUCUCUUAUAC
rnacentral:rRNA from 1 species